rnacentral:ncRNA from 2 species
AAUAUUCCAAACUGCGAAGGUGCCGAAAGGCUUAAUAGGGAACUCCGGUGAGAAUCCGGGACGGUCGGGCCACCGUGAGUGGGGACGAAAUGCUCAACUGGCCACUGGCUUUUUUAGCUGGGAAGGCGAGCAGAGUAGGAUGAGCCACAAGUCGGGAGACCUGCCUUCGUAGGAUGGCAUUC